CCCUAUGGGGCGCAGCAGCGAGAAAACUUUGCAUGUGCGAAGCACGACAAGGUUAAUCCGAGUGGUUUCUGCUAAAGAAACCUUUUGCUAGUCCUAGAAACACUAGUGAAUAAGGGGUGGGCAAGUUCUGGUGUCAGCCGCCGCGGUAAAACCAGCACCUCAAGUGGUCAGGAUGAUUAUUGGGCCUAAAGCAUCCGUAGCUCGUUUUGUAAGUUUUCGGUUAAAUCCAUACGCUUAACGUAUGGGCUGCCGGGAAUACUGCAUAACUAGGAAGUGGGAGAGGUAGACGGUACUCGGUAGGAAGGGGUAAAAUCCUUUGAUCUAUUGAUGACCACCUGUGGCGAAGGCGGUCUACCAGAACACGUUCGACGGUGAGGGAUGAAAGCUGGGGGAGCAAACCGGAUUAGAUACCCGGGUAGUCCCAGCUGUAAACUAUGCAAACUCAGUGAUGCAUUGGCUUGUGGCCAAUGCAGUGCUGCAGGAAGCCGUUAAGUUUGCCGCCUGGGAAGUACGUACGCAAGUAUGAAACUUAA
rnacentral:rRNA from 1 species